rnacentral:rRNA from 1 species
GACAGAGGGUGCAAACGUUGUUCGGAAUCACUGGGCUUAAAGGGCGCGUAGGCGGUCCGACAAGUCAGGGGUGAAAUCCUGCAGCUUAACUGCAGAAGUGCCUUUGAUACUGUCGGUCUUGAGGGAGAUAGGGGUGUGCGGAACUCACAGUGGAGCGGUGAAAUGCGUUGAUAUUGUGAGGAACGCCGGAGGCGAAAGCGGCGCACUGGAUCUCUUCUGACGCUGAGGCGCGAAAGCUAGGGGAGCAAACGGG